UCGGGAAACUGAGAAUAAUGCCCGAUAGAACAUUAUGCCUGGAAUGGUUUAUGUUCCAAAUGAUUUAUCGCCGUAGGAUGGGACUGCGGCCUAUCAGUUUGUUGGUGAGGUAAUGGCCCACCAAGACUAUUACAGGUACGGGCUCUGAGAGGAGUAGCCCGGAGAUGGGUACUGAGACACGGACCCAGGCCCUAUGGGGCGCAGCAGGCGAGAAAACUUUGCAAUGUGCGAAAGCACGACAAGGUUAAUCCGAGUGGUUUCUGCUAAAGGAACCUUUUGUCAGUCCUAGAAACACUGAUGAAUAAGGGGUGGGCAAGUUCUGGUGUCAGCCGCCGCGGUAAAACCAGCACCUCAAGUGGUCAGGAUGAUUAUUGGGCCUAAAGCAUCCGUAGCCGGCUCUGUAAGUUUUCGGUUAAAUCUGUACGCUCAACGUACAGGCUGCCGGGAAUACUGCAGAGCUAGGGAGUGGGAGAGGUAGACGGUACUCGGUAGGAAGGGGUAAAAUCCUUUGAUCUAUUGAUGACCACCUGUGGCGAAGGCGGUCUACCAGAACACGUCCGACGGUGAGGGAUGAAAGCUGGGGGAGCAAACCGGAUUAGAUACCCGGGUAGUCCCAGCUGUAAACCAUGCAAACUCAGUGAUGCAUUGGCUUGUGGCCAAUGCAGUGCUGCAGGGAAGCCGUUAAGUUUGCCGCCUGGGAAGUACGUACGCAAGUAUGAAACUUAAAGGAAUUGGCGGGGGAGCUCCACAAGGGGUGAAGCCUGCGGUUCAAUUGGAG
rnacentral:rRNA from 1 species